GGGGGUCAUCAGCGGCAGACGGGUGAGUAACACGUAGGUGAUCUACCCCAGAGACGGGGAUAACGGGUGGAAACAUCCGCUAAUACCGGAUAGGCUUGUUCGGUCAAAGGGACAAGGAAAGGCUCCGGCGCUCUGGGAGGAGCCUGCAGCCCAUCAGCUAGUUGGCGGGGUAACGGCCACCAAGCAAGACGGGUAGGGGGUGUGAGAGCAUGGCCCCCCACAUGGGACUGGAACACGCCAUACUCCUACGGGAGGCAGCAGCAGGGAAUAUUGCACAAUGGACGGAAGUCUGAUGCAGCGACGCCGCGUGGAUGAAGAAGGCCCUCGGGUUGUAAAUCCUUUACAGGGGGAAGAGGAAGGACGGUCCCCUGGAACAAGUGUCGGCUAACUACGUGCCAGCAGCCGCGGUAAGACGUAGGACACAAGCGUUAUCCGGAUUUACUGGGCGUAAAGCGUCUGCAGGCGGACAGGUAAGUUGGGCGUGAAAGCUCCGGGCCCAACCCGGAGAGGUCGUUCAAUACUGCGUGUCUAGAGGGUGUCAGAGGGGAGUGGAAUUUCCGGAGUAGCGGUAAAAUGCGCAGAGAUCGGAAAGAACACCAAUGGCGAAGGCAGCUCCCUGGGGCAACCCUGACGCUAAGAGACGAAAGCUAGGGGGGAGCGAACAGGGGACUUAGGAGGAACCCCUGGUAGUCCUAGCCCUAAACGAUGGAUGCUGGAUGUGGGGCCCAUAGCGCUCCGUGUCCGAAGCGAACGCGUUAAGCAUCCCGCCUGGGGACUACGGGCCGCAAGGUUAAAACUCAAACGAAUUGACGGGGACCCCGCACAAGCAGCGGAGCGUGUGGUUUAAUUCGAUGCUACACGAAGAACCUUA
rnacentral:rRNA from 1 species